ACAAGGAAAUAACAGAAGAAAAAGUGGUAUUUUCAAGCAAAUUAUAAUAAACAUGUAUGAAUAUCAGCGUUAUUGUUAGGGACACGUCGCUUGCAACGCGGAAGAUGUUAGGAUUACAGGUACUCAAAUUCUUCAGUAACGAUGUAGUAGCGGGCAAUGUUGUGUGAUAACAAAUACAGUGGCUCUGUCCAAGGUGGUGAUGUGAUUGAAUUAGGUCCAUCUACGAUGGACAGCGAUUAUCAUGAUUGGAUUAUAGAUUGCAGAUCGGGCAGCCGGUGCCAUACAAAUAGUACAACUUGAUACCAUGGCCGUCAUAAAGUUGGAAGAUAAACGUAGUGAUAAAACGUUUUACUUCGAGUUGCUGAGUGAUAUUAAACUGGAAACAAUCAUGCACAAUCACUCUGCUGCUCACAUUUAGCUUCUAGAAAUAUUGCCUGUAGUGAAAAGCUGCUGUUAAAGGGAGCACAGUACCAUCUAGUGGCGGUGUUUGGAAACAUGUUGCUGAUUAACAUUCAGUGACGUUUCUCUUUAUAUGCACUCCACAUUCAAACGUUGGUUAAACAGCGACAACUGAACACAAUAUGUCGAGGCCACGAUAAAACAUGAAUGUAUAUAGGAUGAUAUCUUAACCAGUUUUGCUGCUCUCAUUAUUUUUGAUGAAGCUAUUUCCUGUUGGGUUUGUGCGGUUUUGGAAACUGAGUGUCAAAAUAGAUACGAAGAAACAGUGGUGGAGGCGAUAUGAAGAGCCUUUGCUUGGUUCGCAUAUCUGUAACAAUAUAAACAGUAGUAGAUUUCUGCAAUUAAAGUGUUAUUUAAGUUAAAGUAGUAGUUUUAGAAGUACUCAAUGCAGAAAAAAACGUCCUAAUAUAGUAUGUAAACAAAUAAAUCAUAAUGUAGUAGGGGAGAGUGGGGUAAUUUGUGCCACGGGGCAAGUAGUUCCACCCCUGUUAUCUAGAAAACCAUAGAAGAAGUUGGUCAUGUGACCACAUAUUUUUGAAGAGGCAUCCAUUUCAAUCAUCCUGCAAAGAAGGGAGACACAUGGCUUGAGAGGUCUCCCUGAAGACGCCUUCCUCAUCUUCCUGAAGCACUUCAUCCGCCACACCAACUGCUCCACCGAUCACCCAGUCCUGCUCAUUCUGGACAACCAUGAGUCUCACAUCUCACUCAAGUCAGUGACAAUUGCUAAAGAGAAUGGGGUCAUUAUGCUCACCCUGCAACCUCACACCGCUUGCAACCAUUAGACAAAACUGUCUAUGGACCACUCAAAACCUACUAUAACCGAGCGAUGGAUGGGUGGAUGCGAUCACAUCCUGGGCGAACCGUAUCGAUCUAUGAGGUCUCGGAACUUGUGAAGCAAGUGUUCCUCUCUGCAAUGUCACCAACAAACAUAACCUCAGGUUUCAGAGCAACAGGCAUAUACCCUUUCAACAGGGACAUCUUCCCAGAAGAAGACUAUGCACCAUCAAUGGUGACAGACAGGGCAAAUCCAGAAGAUGAACCCAGUGCCACUGCUGACCUGCCUGGAGAAGAGCCCUCCACCAGUGGAGCUGCUCACCUGCCUGGACCAUCUCAUGAGCCAACACAUGUCACAGCAGAUCCAGACCCAGGAGAGCCACCUGCCACUCCCGAGCACUUAUCAAGUGACAAAUCUGGUUCUUCUGCUCACUUGGGUUAUGUGUCUCCAGAAGUAAUUCUUCCCUUGCCAAAAGCCACAGAAAGAAAAAAAAAAGUGUAAGAAAGAAAGUGAAAACAAGAAUCGUGACCGACACACCUGAGAAGAUGGAGUUGGAGAAGGCUCACAAAGAAAAAGAAGAUAAAAAGGCUGAACAGGAAAAGAAAAAGAAUGAAAGAGAGAAGAAAAGGGCUCUGAAAGCUGCAAAUCAAACCAAAACCAAGAAGAAAACAGCUGUGUACAGUAGCUCAGAAGAAAGCUCCACCACCAAUGAUGAGGCAGAAGAUGGCCUGGAGAAGACACACAGCAGAGAAAAGGAACGGGCUGAAAAGAAGAAAAGGAGUGGAAAUAAGAAGGGGGCUCUGAAAGGGUCAAAACCAACCAAGCCCAAAAAGAAAGUGCUCUCCAGUAGCUCAGAAGAGAGUGACUUUCCGAUUCCACUUAUUAUGAGAGUUCAGAUGUCCAGAGUGGUGAUGAUGAUGAUGGUGACAAGGAUCUGUCUGCUGGUGACUUUGUCAUUGUGAAGUUUGCAGGUAAAAAAUCCAAAUCCUAUAACUAUGUUGAAGGUGACGAGAUCAGUGCAAAGUUUCUGAAGCAAAGUUAUAAGAGGUCUGUUGAUGGAAAGCCCAUCUUCACAUUUAGAGAGAAUGAUGAAGGAGUCAUCCCUAGAGGUGAUGUGCUCAAGAAACUACCCACACCACAAAAACUUGGUGGUACAGCCAGAAGGGAGUAUAAGUUCACAUUCCCCUGCAGCAUUGACAAGUGGGAUGUUCAGUAGUAGGCCGAAUCUGUGAAGAGAUUCAGAUGUAGAUGAUUUGCAGAUGAUUAGGUGCUCAUUUUGGAAUUUUGUUCUCAGUAUGUGUUCAUGUGGCGCUAGGUCCUGUUUAAGCAAAUUGACCACACCACAAAACUUGGUGGUACAGCCAGAAGGGAACAGAAGUUCAUAUUUCCCUGCAGCAUUGGACAAGUAGGAUGUUAGGUGUUCAUAGGCCUUGUUAUAGAAAAGUGGCCUUUGAUGUUGUUAAAACUUUAAAUAAACAUUAAAUAAAUAAUGUUGUA